AUCCUGGCUCAGGACGAACGCUGGCGGCGUGCCUAACACAUGCAAGUCGAGCGGAGAUUAUGGGGAUGAAAGCUUCGGCCGGAUUCCUGGUAAUUUCAGCGGCGGACGGGUGAGUAACGCGUGAGCAAUCUGUCUCAGACAGGGGGAUAACGCAGCGAAAGUUGCACUAAUACCGCAUGAGACCACAACGCCACAUGGCGAAGGGGUCAAAGGAGCAAUCCGGUCUGAGGUGAGCUCGCGUCCCAUUAGGUAGUUGGUGAGGUAACGGCCCACCAAGCCGACGAUGGGUAGCCGACCUGAGAGGGUGAUCGGCCACACUGGAACUGAGACACGGUCCAGACUCCUACGGGAGGCAGCAGUGGGGAAUAUUGGGCAAUGGGCGAAAGCCUGACCCAGCAACGCCGCGUGAGUGAAGAAGGUCUUCGGAUUGUAAAUCUCUGUCCUAAGAGAAGAGGGGAAGACGGUAUCUUAGGAGGAAGCCCCGGCUAACUACGUGCC
rnacentral:rRNA from 1 species